UACGUAGGGGGCAAGCGUUGUCCGGAUUUAUUGGGCGUAAAGAGCUCGUAGGUGGUUUGGUAAGUCGGAUGUGAAAUCUCCAGGCUCAACCUGGAGGGGUCAUUCGAUACUGCCAUGACUAGAGGUCGGUAGGGGAGUGUGGAAUUCCCGGUGUAGUGGUGAAAUGCGUAGAGAUCGGGAGGAACACCUGUGGCGAAGGCGGCUCGCUGGGCCGAUCCUGACGCUGAGACGCGAAGGCGUGGGGAGCGAACGGG
rnacentral:rRNA from 1 species